rnacentral:lncRNA from 1 species
AAAUAAAAGAUAGAUAAGUUAAUUAAGGUAAAAACAUACAAAACUUAUCUGAAUUAUAAAUUGUUUUGAAUCGACUACCCAACCUUUCAAAAUUUAAUUUUACUAUUCUACCUUUCAAUUCGUUUAAUUUGAGUUGGUUAACGACAUUUUGACUUAAAAUUUAGGCUAAUUACUCAAUUUAAUAAAUUUACAGUUGCGAGAAUUAAAUGAAAUAAUAGUAAUUAAACGACACAUUUAAAUUUUAAAAUUAAAGCGCGGUUCACGAGUAAACAAUUGAAAGGU